rnacentral:lncRNA from 1 species
GCUCAGCAACGCCACUGUGUUUCUUCUCAGUGUGUUUGGAAAGAAGAUUAUUGUUGCAGAUGCAUCAGCUCUGUGUUGCUGCUACAGUCGCUUCUUCUAAACUCAGACUUUGAAGCAUGGAGCAAAUUGGCCAUCUCUUUGUCCUCCUGGAUACUGUGGCUUCACGUCCAUCAGGCCCUUGGCUGUCUCUCUUACCUCCACACAAGACUUUUGCUCAAGGAGAACUGGCUUCAUUGAUAUGCUCCCUGCCAGAAGGACAGAGGGCAACGGGGUUCUAUUUCUAUGAAAAGAGAGGAGGUGUACCAGUCAUGUAUGGACAACAGGCGGAAAAUAUCUUGGAGGUUUCCACAGAAUACCUGGAAACAAACAAAACAUUUCUCUGUGCUUACCUGGGGGGAAAGAGUUCAGGAGGACUCUUCCUGUCUUCGCUGAGUAACGAGGUUGUGCUGUCCAUCACUGAGCACCCUCAUCCCCCAGUCUUAACUGUUUCGCCCGAAAAGGAUAGCUACAGAAGAGAGGAGUCCAUAAAACUUAGAUGUUCAGUUUAUGAAAGCCGCGAUGUAUCAAAGAUCCAGUUUUUCAAGGACAAGAGGCAACUGCAACUCAUCAAUGUCCCCUCCUCUCUGAACACCUUCACACACACACAACUGCUUCUUCCUCAAGAUGGUGGAGAUUACUCCUGCAAGUACCACAUUGUGGUAUCAGGGCGAGAGUUCCCAUCCAGAGAGAGCAACUCCAUCAGGAUUUUGGUAUUGGAUGAACCACUUUCCACAAUGCCUACCUUUUCCACCCCUGACCAGGCUGUUCUGAGUUUUGCCGCCACCACCAGGCCACCUAGAAAGUCAACACUGGCAACUUCAUCAACCAGCUCUUCUCGCUACAUCGCCAGAACACUCUCAACACACACAAAGCUCCUUGCAUCAAGCACCUCCUGGUCCAGCUCUUCGCAGUUGAGUCUGCAUUAUAGCACCUCAACCAGCAGCACCAAUGCUCAGGAGAGCAGGAAAUCCUCCUCCUGCUGUGAUCCCAAAUCAACCACAGACCAAAAGAAGGACAAUUCAUUAAAAGGUUCAUAUCCUUUUCUUCAGGCCAUUAGAUGUGGCACCGGCGGAUGUCUCCUCCUCCUGGUGUUUGUUGUCUGUAUUUAUAGGAAGAAGCACAAAGGUAUUUGGCAAGGCAGGGGAAGCUGAGCCUGGGGAGGUGGACAUCCCAGGAGGAAUGCAGAUGUGGGUGGAAGUAACCCCUGGUGGAAUCAUCACAGCCAGAAUUAUCACUAACUGCUUAUGCACAGCAUGCCUUCUUCAUUUUUUUUUAUUUUGACAAAAUAAUAAUCAUAAAUAAAUAAGAAUGAAAAUGUGCACCCCACCACCGAGAUAAUUCCACUGAAACUAUCCAACCUUCCAAAAUUUCAACACCUCUUGCGAUGGUUUGAACCCUUUCCGUUUUAACAGUACAAAUUCUACAAACACCCUCCAUAUCUCCUCAAAAUCACUUCUCCUGCAUAUUCCCUGUCUUACCUUAAUGGCACAUGUUAUUUUAUCAUUCAUAGCUAUAUCCCACACCUCUUUAUCCCAUUCUUCCAUUUUAUAUUCUGCUUGCCCCUUUUAUAGCUAUAAUAAUUCUAGCUAUAAUAAUUCGUGCAGAAACCUCGCCUGUUCCAUUUCUGUGUGUCAGGUUGCAGUUAGAAGCACAGAAGCAGAGUUAUAAAAGGUAGCAGCCCCAUCUAUUUGUCCAGGACAGAGAUCUGAAAUUCUUCGCAAGGCCCUCUCCAUGGGGCUGCCAUUGAAGACUGUUCAAACCUGCUGUGGUUUCAAAAGACAGCAACUUAUAAAGAGCACAUCCUGUCAGUCUUUAUAAGACCUUUGCAGACUCUCUGUUUCAGAUUCAAAAUGAUGGCCUCUUGGCCCUCAAAGCCCUAAACAACAACCAUCCUUUAAUUUAUUUACCCAUUAAGAAUUACACAUAAUGAACUACAUUGUUCUGUUGUAAAAGAAAAAAUCUGCACACUAAGAGGCUAGAAAAGGAGGAAAAAGAAGAAAAGAAAAAUAAAGAAAAAAAUAAACGAAAAAUCUUAUGAAAAACGUACAAGAAAUGCAAACCAUCAUCGACAUUAUUAUAAACAUAUAUUUCCAGUAAGAAAUCCUUUUAUCUUCAGCUUAUCGAUUUCUCUUUGCCAUUCUUACUUUCUUAUCUAUACCUGAUCUCUGGUUUUAUUCCUUGAUUUAUUUGAUGACUUCCUUCUACCACUAUGCCUUUUCUAAUUUCUCAUAUCUUAAAAUUUGUGCAUCCAUUUUUACUCAGUGGAGAACUUAUCUCUGUGGAAUUUAAUUUAUUCUCAGCCAAGUGUCAUCACUGGAACCGUGUUGCAUCAUGUAAUUUUUAAAAACAUCCCAUUCUUUUUUUAAUCCUAUCUCCUGAAUAGUUUCUUAUGAAUUCUGUUAAUUUCGGUAAUUCAAGAUAUUCACAUAUCUUUAGGUGCCAUUCUUCUUUUGUCGGUAUUACAUUACUUUUCCAAUACUUUGCUAUAAGAAUCCUGGCAGCCGUAGUAGCAUAAAGAAAAACUCUUUUGGGAUGUUUGUUGUAAAAAUACCUAAUAAAAAUAAUUCUGUUUUUUAAGGAAAUGUAUAUUUUAACAUUUUCUUCAAUUCUUCAUAUAUCGUGUCCCAAAAUAAUACGUUGGUGGUACAGAGGUGAGCAUAGCUGCCUUCCAUCCUUGAAAUUUCACCCACUUCUCUGAGUGUUGCAGCACUGUUCCACAGCCAAGCAAUGUAAAGCGCAGCAUUCUAGAGGAUAUUGUGCCUUACGUGCUCUAAAUGUGGGAACCCCUGGUGCCCUGUCUUUGUGUCUCCUUCUUCGCUUAAGAGUCACACACAUUCACAAACUUUUUCUUUUCUUUUCUCAGAUAAGAGAGUGAUCACAGCAAGGUGAGUGAGUACGAAAACUUGGGACAGCUGUCAGAAGCAGCUUCCUCCAAGCUGUUGGACAUGACGCUGCGGUUUGUGUGGCCUGAUCAUCGGAGGAGUCGGGGCUGCUGUGUGUUUAAAAACAGAAGCAGGGACAUGCAGUCAGGAGUGACAAGAGGCUGCAAGGGUGUGGCUGCUUAAAAAAAGCCACCUCUUUUCAAGAAGAUAAAAAGAGCUCUUUAGCACAAUGCAAAGGGGAGUCAUUUGGCCUAGCCUCCAUUUUCCAACUGUAUCCAGCCAGAUGCCUCUGGGAAGCCCACCAGAAGGCCAUUCCUAAUUCCUGCUCCCCUGGUUUUCAGAGAUAGAAUCAAAGAAUUCUAGAGUUGGAAGGGACCCUGAGGAUCAUCUAGUUCAGGCACCCCCAAACUCGGCCCUCCCAAUGUUUUGGGACUACAGCUCCCAUCAUCCCUAGCUAACAGGACCAGUGGUCAGGGAUGGUGGGAAUUGUAGUCCCAAAACAUCUGGAGGGCUGAGUUUGGGGGUGCCUGAUGUAGUCCAACCCCCUGCAAUGCAGGAAUAUGCAGCUGCCCCAUACGGGGAUCAAACCUGCAACCUUGGCAUCAUCAGCACCACGCUCUAACCAACUGAGCUACCCAGGAAGAAGGACCAAAAGGACAAGUUUGGGGGUUGCAGAUAAGGAGGGGGAAAUACAUUUUAAAAAUAAUAAAAAUUGUCCAGUAGCACCUUAGAGACCAACUAAGUUUGUUCUUGGUAUGAGCUUUUGUGCGCACGCACACUUCUUCAGAUACACUGAAACAGAAGUCACC